rnacentral:rRNA from 1 species
CCUACGGGUGGCAGCAGUGCGGAAUAUUGGUCAAUGGGCGCGAGCCUGAACCAGCGACGUCGCGUGAAGGAUGACUGCCCUACGGGUUGUAAACUUCUUUUAUAAAGGAAUACAGUGAGGCACGUGUGCCUUUUUGUAUGUACUUUAUGAAUAAGGAUCGGCUAACUCCGUGCCAGCAGCCGCGGUAAUACGGAGGAUCCGAGCGUUAUCCAGAUUUAUUGGGUUUAAAGGGAGCGUAGAUGGGUUGUUAAGUCAGUUGUGAAAGUUUGCGGCUCAACCGUAAAAUUGCAAUUGAUACUGGCAGCCUUGAGUACAGUUGAGGUAGGCGGAAUUCGUGGUGUAGCGGUGAAAUGCGUAGAUAUCACGAAGAACUCCGAUUGCGAAGGCAGCUUACUAAACGGCCACUGACAUUGAUGCUCGAAAGUGUGGGUAGCAAACAGGAUUAGAUACCCCGGUAGUC